rnacentral:tRNA from 1 species
UUUCGUUUAGUUUAAUAAAAAUGCCCGUUUGUGGUAUGGGUGAAGGGCUUCCCAACGGCUU